AAAAUGAUGGGGACUACUCAUAAUGCCUCCGGAAAAAUGUCGCCGUCACUGCGGUAUACUUCAUUAACAACCCCGUAGAUAAAACAAAUAAAUAGUUUGGGAAGUACCACAAAUGAUUUAAAUUCCAAACAAGCUUUCCCAUACCUUCGUACGUUUUGUUGUGGAUAAUUGAUUGGUUUGAAAGAAAAAAUUAUCGCAGCUAAUGAUGACGUCACAAUGCACUGUUUACAUCAACCGCAUUAUAUUUCCCGCGUUAAGUGAAAUGCCUAAAGUCGUGUUGUAAGAUGUCAUGGGUCUUCGCUCGUCUCAACGGUCACACCGUAUACAUAUUAUUCCAUGGCUACUCAUAAGAGAGUAUUAUGCCUCGUUCACACGAAGAAUUUAAUUCGCAUUAAACGUAAGUUAAUGCGAAUUAAAUCUGAACCGCGUUCACACGGAGAUUUUAAGGUAGCGACGGAUAGCAACCACGUGAUCAGUAAAAAUUGUGUAUUUUCACGUGAAUUCAUUUUCCGGAAUUCCUUACUCCGUCAUAGAAUAGUCGAAAAACAAAAAGGGGUUCCGAAAGUGUUUUGUUGCUGUGACUGACUCGCCUACAGAAAAUAUGCACAUACCACAUAAGUAUACGUCAAUGUCUGUAAUAAUGGUAGAUCAAAUGUUUCAUCUGUGUGAAACUUUUUGCUAAUCGAAAUGUUAAACCAACCACCAAUCCAUGUACAUAGAUGCGCUACGUAAACAAAGUUGUUGAUUGAUGCAUCGUAAUGUCCGAGUGCUGCAUGCUGAGAGAUUAAAUACUGUUUAUACAGUCAUUGAGAGGCUAAACAAAGUUUCUUGCAAGAAGAAGAAGUUGGUGGAUGCAUUCAACUUGGACAACGAAAUCAUAGUUUCGUUUGUCAUCAGCCUGAAGACCGAGGGAGGUUAGAUAGGACCAUUGCAGGUUGAAGUGGAUUUCGAGUCAACAAGUAUAACAGCAAGAGAGGUACUCCAUUUACAGUGAUGAUGACAUAUCCCCUGGACCCCCACAACUCCACAAAUUUAAAAUUGUUUGAUCAAGUUCCGAAGAUUAAAGAACUACUGCAAAAUUUGGGACUGGAUGAAAAACAUUAAUUCACUUAUAUGAGCUCAGAGCAGUGGAUGUUAUACAACAUAUUUUAAACUAAAUUGUGAAUUUAAGGGAAAACAAGUACAUGUACUCGUAUAUUACAAGUACAUGCCUUUUGAAAGACAAUAAUAUUGCAUAGAUGUAAAGGAAAUUUCAAUGUUGAUUAUUCUUUCUUAGAUAUAUUAGUAAAAAAUGUGCACAUGAUAGAAUAUCAAUUUUAUAACUUCAAUCAAUGUGUUUGAAUUUUCCUUGUAAUUCAAAAUUUAGUUGAAACAUACAUCAUAGAUACAUUAAUGUAUAUCAAAUUUUUAGAAAAGUUUCAUAAUGGAACUAAUUCACCCCCCCCCCCCCCCCCCCCCCCUUAUACAUACAGUGAACAUAGACCUUCACCUGGGGAAAACUUCAGUUAGUUAAUGCAAUAUACAUGUACAUGCAUUCUCAGUUAUCCAAUAGUGAUUUUUUGGUUCCAUGUGAAACUACAAUUAGAAAUCUUAAACUUAUGAAAGACACACCUAUCUGUGAGGGUAAGAUGACUCAGAUGGACUUAGUGAUCCAUGGGCAGUCC